rnacentral:rRNA from 1 species
AUGUCCUCUAUUGCUGUACAACAGAGUAUCAACCUUAUAGAACUGAUUAACAACAGAGAGAAUCAGCACCUGCCAGAUUCUUGGAAAUUUUAUUGGGGUGCCACAAGGUAUUCUAACAAGAGAAUAUACCUUGAACUUAUCGGAAACCCUGUUGAUGCACCUAAACCCUAUCAAUGGAUAUGGAAAUCAUGCUCUUUACCAAAGCAGAAAUUCUUCUUCUGGCUCUUGUUACAAGACAGAUUAAACACUAGAGAUCUACUAAAAAGGAAGAAUUUCUACAUUGAGACUAGUAAGUGUGAAUUAUGUGAUGAUGAACCUAAUGAACAUUUAAUGCAUCUGUUUUUUAGCUGUGAUUUCAGUCAAAACUUCUGGAUGAACAUUGGCUACCAAUGGAAGACUGAUCAUAACCUCAUAGAAAUGCUCCUGGAGGGAAGGAAGCAAGAUACACAUGGAUGCUUUAAAGAAUGUCUGAUUGCUGGAUGCUGGAGUCUAUGGAAACACAGAAAUAGCAUAAUUUUUGACAACAAGGUCAAAAAUAUGACAUUCUGUAUUGCCACUUUCAAGGAGCACUUUUGCAUGAUUAUAAAGAAGGCAAAACCAGGAUUGAAAGAGGGCAUGCAAAGCUGGCUAGAUCAUUUGUAG